AUGUGCCGCCCAUACACCGCGGUUCGCCCACGUCCGGCUGAUGACUGCUCGCUACGAUCCGUCAGCC
rnacentral:sRNA from 1 species